GCCAGGCAUGGUGGUGCAUGUCUGUAGUCCCAGCUACUCAGGAGGCUGAGGUGGGAGGAUCACAUGAGCCCAGGAAGUCAAGACUGCAGUGAGCUCUCAGGGUGCCACUACACUCCAGCCUGGGUGACAGAGUGAGACCCUGUCUCAA
rfam:Gorilla gorilla gorilla genomic chromosome, chr16, whole genome shotgun sequence